AACCUGGCCUGGUCGGUUUGGUCAGUCGUUGGCAGGCGCUCUAUUACCACGGACCGUGGUUUGUGGAAUAACGCGCGUGUAAUACCAGCCAUACACCAUUUCCCCUCUUCGUCUGAUUUGGAUCACUCUCGCGUGCUAAAAGUGUAUUAGCGUAGCGUUUAUUAGCGUAGCGGAUGGAGAAGACAGCACACUAUUAGCUGUUUAAUCGCUGUCUUCGUGGGAAUAUUUGAUUUCAUUGUCAGCGAUUCGAAGAUUUAAGAAGUAGUUCCAAAUGGGCAGCAUAAACAAUCCAAAACAGUACACGAAGUACAGCAAAAACACCACGGGAUGCAAGGUCAGGAAGUGUGUUCCAAUGCAGCGAAGCGUGUUUCGAUUGGGAUCGGGAAAUUUGUUCAAACUAAUACUGAUCAGAAUCAUCACAAUUCUGAACAACAUGGUGAACAAGUUUCGAUAGAUGUUCCAACACGAUCAGUUUGAUAUGUCCAAUCAUCAAAAUCGAUCCUAUAACAAGUGCAUUUUCUAGAACUUAUUUUUAAUUCGACUAGCCAAACAUAUCGACCAAUAUGCGCUCGAUUGCCCGCGAAGCCCGUACUUGUCUGCUGCCGUCAGGUAUGACAUCACGGAUUAGCAGGCGAAGCGAAUCGAACAUCGGAUUAAUGACAAACGAUAGAAAGUGCAGUUGGCGCUGGACCAACACAACCAAUCGACAAAUAUGCAACGGCUAAUCGAACAGUAUCGAGUGCAGUUUUCGAAUGAUUAACACGGUGAUAGAGAAGCGCAUUAAAAUCGGUUUGAUUGAGUAAAGUACAGAUUUAGUAAUUUUGUGAGACUUGAGGGUGCGAUAGGUACAACCAGAAAUCAAUUCCAAUAAAGAUGUACCGAAAUGGAUAUAGCCGCUGGCGUCAGGAAGCCUGUAUUCGAGAUGUGAUUUUUGCGCUCAUCGCAAUAAUGUUUCUAUUAUGUUGCUAGUUAUGAG